rnacentral:rRNA from 1 species
GUGACCCCAGGUCAGGCGGGAUUACCCGCUGAGUU